GUACGGGAGGCAGCAGUGGGGAAUCUUGCGCAAUGGGCGAAAGCCUGACGCAGCCAUGCCGCGUGGAUGAUGAAGGUCUUAGGAUUGUAAAAUCCUUUCAGCGGGGACGAUAAUGACGGUACCCGCAGAAGAAGCCCCGGCUAACUUCGUGCCAGCAGCCGCGGUAAUACGAAGGGGGCUAGCGUUGCUCGGAUUUACUGGGCGUAAAGGGCGCGUAGGCGGAUGUUUAAGUCGGGGGUGAAAGCCCGGGGCUCAACCUCGGAAUUGCCUUCGAUACUGGACAUCUUGAGUACGGGAGAGGUGAGUGGAACUCCGAGUGUAGAGGUGAAAUUCGUAGAUAUUCGGAAGAACACCAGUGGCGAAGGCGACUCACUGGCCCGUUACUGACGCUGAGGCGCGAAAGCGUGGGGAGCAAACAGGAUUAGAUACCCCGGU
rnacentral:rRNA from 1 species